CUGUGAUUCAAAAAAACUACUCUCCUUCAAAAAAUAAACUAUAACAUUUAUUUCUACGACAAGACAAGCUAUUCUAUAUACAUAUUAAGUUUAAAUGAGUGCAUUUCCGAAAGAAAAUAGUUCAGAAUCUUUUCAGCUGCUGAUCACAACGCAGUUCCGUUUUUCAAGUUUGAUUCCCAGUUGUUGUUGUUUUCAAUACGGAGUUGAGUUGUUACUCGCUUCGUCGAAAAUUGCGGAUUCACGCUACAGCAGGUAUAGAAUUAAACAAAAUAAGUUAUCAGUGGUGAUUAAAUACAAAUAGACGCAAGAAAAAUAUUUUCCAUUCUGGAUCUGGUAGAGGACUUAUUGCAAGUCAAGUGAAAAAAAUUGUUUAUAUCUCUGAGUGCUUCAAAACAGAAAAAUAAAUUGUCAGUGGUGAUUAAAUACAAAUAGAUGGAAAAUGAAUAUUUUGAAUUCUGGAUCUGAUAGAAGACUUAUUGCAAGUCAAGGGAAAAUAAUUGAUCAUAUCUGUGAGAACUUCAAAAUAAGGUUAUAUCUUUAUAUUUAUAUUUUCAAACUUGUUUCAGAAAUAUAUAUUAUAUAUCUAUGAAGAAAAUUUAGAGAAAUGCAAUAAAAUUUUAUUUCCAAGAAUUUCAAAUCCUCAGAUUUGUUUCAUCUGCAAUUCUCAACCUUAAAAUUUUUUUUCUUGCAUAUUUUUCAUACAUGCAGUAUUUCCUGAAAUUGAUCUGUUAAGGGGGUUAAUUAAGAAUUUUAAAAAUUACAGCAAAAACAUUUCAUUGACAAUUUUAUUAUAUACUGUUAUGGUUUCUGGACCAUUAAUAUAUUUAUUGUGUCACUGAGGGUUAAAAUAAACUAUUUGUUCUCAUUUUUCGUCUGAAAUUCCUAAAAUUAUUCAGUAAUGGAAUUCACAAACUUGUAUGAUAAAUGCAUACUUGCAUACUUCAGAUAAUUCUCAUCAUUAUUACUACCAUUGCUUUUGCUGUACACAAACAUUAUUAAUAUUAAUGUUCUCUAUUUUUUAACAGAGUUUCUCAU